rnacentral:sRNA from 1 species
CGGAUAGCCCCGCGUUGUGGUCUGACCCGACCCCGACGACAACGCGGGGCGAUCCC